rnacentral:rRNA from 1 species
UGCUUAAUACAUGCAAGUCGAGCGGUAAGGCCCUUUCGGGGGUACACGAGCGGCGAACGGGUGAGUAACACGUGGGUGACCUGCCCUCAGCUCUGGGAUAAGCCUGGGAAACCGGGUCUAAUACUGGAUAUGACUCCAUGACGCAUGUUGUGGGGUGGAAAGCCUUGUGCGGCUGAGGAUGGGCCCGCGGCCUAUCAGCUUGUUGGUGGGGUGAUGGCCUACCAAGGCGACGACGGGUAGCCGGCCUGAGAGGGCGACCGGCCACACUGGGACUGAGACACGGCCCAGACUCCUACGGGAGGCAGCAGUGGGGAAUCUUGCGCAAUGGGCGAAAGCCUGACGCAGCGACGCCGCGUGAGGGAUGACGGCCUUCGGGUUGUAAACCUCUUUCAGCUCCGACGAAGCGAGAGUGACGGUAGGAGCAGAAGAAGCACCGGCCAACUACGUGCCAGCAGCCGCGGUAAUACGUAGGGUGCAAGCGUUGUCCGGAAUUAUUGGGCGUAAAGAGCUCGUAGGCGGCCUGUCGCGUCGGCUGUGAAAACUCGGGGCUCAACUCCGAGCUUGCAGUCGAUACGGGCAGGCUAGAGUUCGGCAGGGGAGACUGGAAUUCCUGGUGUAGCGGUGAAAUGCGCAGAUAUCAGGAGGAACACCGGUGGCGAAGGCGGGUCUCUGGGCCGAUACUGACGCUGAGGAGCGAAAGCGUGGGGAGCGAACAGGAUUAGAUACCCUGGUAGUCCACGCUGUAAACGUUGGGCGCUAGGUGUGGGAUCCCUUCCACGGGUUCCGUGCCGCAGCUAACGCAUAAGCGCCCCGCCUGGGGAGUACGGGCCGCAAGGGCUAAAACUCAAAGGAAUUGACGGGGGGCCCGCACAAGCGGGCGGAGCAUGGUGGAUUAAUUCGAUGCAACGCGAAGAAACCUUCACCUGGGGUUUGACAUACACUGGGAAAGCCAUGGAGAACAUGGCCUCCGCAAGGGCCGGUGUAACAGGGUGGUGGCAAUGGGCUGUCGUCAGCUCGUGUCGUGAGAUGUUGGGGUUAAGUCCCGCAACGAGCGCAACCCUUGUCUCAUGUUGCCAGCGGGUUAUGCCGGGGGACUCAUGAGAGACUUGCCGGGGUCAACUCGGAGGAAAGGUGGGGGACGAACGUC